CACGUAGGGCGCGAGCGUUGUCCGGAAUCAUUGGGCGUAAAGCGCGUGUAGGCGGCCCGAUAAGUCCGCUGUGAAAGUCCAGGGCUCAACCCUGGGAUGCCGGUGGAUACUGUCGGGCUCGAGUCCGGAAGAGGCGAGUGGAAUUCCUGGUGUAGCGGUGAAAUGCGCAGAUAUCAGGAGGAACACCAAUGGCGAAGGCAGCUCGCUGGGACGUGACUGACGCUGAGACGCGAAAGCGUGGGGAGCAAACAGG
rnacentral:rRNA from 1 species